GGGAUUGCCCUAGUAACGGCGAGUGAAGCGGCAAUAGCUCAAAUUUGAAAUCUGGCUUCCUUUGGGGGUCCGAGUUGUAAUUUGCAGAGGGUGCUUUGGCGUUGGUGGCGGUCUAAGUUCCUUGGAACAGGACAUCGCAGAGGGUGAGAAUCCCGUUUGUGGUCGCAUGCCUUCGCCGUGUAAAGCCCCUUCGACGAGUCGAGUUGUUUGGGAAUGCAGCUCUAAAUGGGAGGUAAAUUUCUUCUAAAGCUAAAUACUGGCCAGAGACCGAUAGCGCACAAGUAGAGUGAUCGAAAGAUGAAAAGCACUUUGGAAAGAGAGUCAAACAGCACGUGAAAUUGUUGAAAGGGAAGCGCUUGCAGCCAGACUUGCCCGUAGUUGCUCACCCAGGCUUUUGCCCGGGGCAUUCUUCUGCGGGCAGGCCAGCAUCAGUUUGGGCGGUCGGAUAAAGGCCUCUGUCACGUAUCUUCCUUCGGGAUGACCUUAUAGGGGAGGCGACAUGCGACCAGCCCGGACUGAGGUCCGCGCUUCUGCUAGGAUGCUGGCGUAAUGGCUGUAAGCGGCCCGUCUUGAAACACGGACCAAGGAGUCUAACAUCUAUGCGAGUGUUUGGGUGUCAAGCCCGAGCGCGUAAUGAAAGUGAACGGAGGUGGGAACCCUUGGGUGCACCAUCGACCGAUCCUGAUGUCUUCGGAUGGAUUUGAGUAAGAGCAUAGCUGUUGGGACCCGAAAGAUGGUGAACUAUGCUUGAAUAGGGUGAAGCCAGAGGAAACUCUGGUGGAGGCUCGCAGCGGUUCUGACGUGCAAAUCGAUCGUCAAAUUUGGGCAUAGGGGGCGAAAGACUAAUCGAACUAUCUAGUAGCUGGUUCCUGCCGAAGUUU
rnacentral:rRNA from 1 species